rnacentral:rRNA from 1 species
UCAAGCUACUAAGGGCACACGGUGAAUGCCUAGGCGCGAGUAGGCGAUGAAGGACGCGGCAAGCUGCGAAAAGCUUCGGGGAGCCGCUAAGCGGGCGUUGAUCCGAAGAUCUCCGAAUGGGGCAACCCGGUCGUGGUAGUGCACGAUCAUCCCGCGCUGAAUUCAUAGGCGCGGCGAGGCGAACGCGGGGAAGUGAAACAUCUCAGUACCCGCAGGAAAAGAAAUCAACCGAGAUUCCGCUAGUAGCGGCGAGCGAACGCGGAGAAGCCCAAACCGGCUGUAGCGAUACAUCCGGUGUUGUGGGGCUGCCUCUGGGGCAACCCGGGGAGUCAACAAGCGACGGCGGAGCAGAAGGUGCCUGGAAAGGCCCACCACAGACGGUGAUAGUCCAGUAAGCGGCCGCUCGUCGUCUCCCUGCAGGCAGUUCCCGAGUACCGCGAGGCACGUGCAACCUCGUGGGAAUCUGGGGGGACCAUCCUCCAAGGCUAAACACUCACUCGCGACCGAUAGUGAACCAGUACCGUGAGGGAAAGGUGAAAAGCACCCCGGCGAGGGGAGUGAAACAGUACCUGAAACCGUGUGCUUACAAGCAGUGGAAGGGCGUUGUGGCCGCAAGGCGACGUGCCUGACCGCGUGCCUUUUGCUUAAUGAGUCUGCGACUUACUCGAUGCGGCAAGGUUAAGCCGUGGCAGGUGAAGCCGAAGCGAAAGCGAGUCCGAACAGGGCGUGCAGUCGUGUCGAGUAGACCCGAAGCGGGAUGAUCUACCCAUGGCCAGGGUAAAGGCCCGGUAACACGGGCUGGAGGCCCGAACUGGUGAAGGUUGAAAACUUCUCGGAUGAGCUGUGGGUAGGGGUGAAAGGCUAAUCAAAUUCCGUGAUAGCUGGUUCUCCCCGAAAUAGCUUGAGGACUAGCCCUGCGUAUUAACUGACGGAGGUAGAGCACUGAAUGGACUAGGGGCCUUACCCGGUUACCAAACCCAAUCAAACUCCGAAUACCGUCAAGUCUUACCGCAGGAGUCAGACUACGGGUGCUAAGAUUCGUGGUCAAAAGGGAAACAGCCCAGAUCGCCAGCUAAGGUCCCUAAAUGUAUGCUAAGUGGGAAAGGUUGUGGAAGCGCUUAGACAGCCAGGAGGUUUGCUUAGAAGCAGCAAUCCUUUAAAGAAAGCGUAAUAGCUCACUGGUCAAGCGGGCCUGCGCCGAAAAUAUAACGGGGCUCAAGCAUAUUACCGAAGCUGCGGAUUUCAGAGCAAUCUGGAGUGGUAGGGGAGCAUUCUGUCGUAGGCUGAAGGCGGACCGUAAGGACCGCUGGACGAAACAGAAGAGAUUCUGCCGGCAUAAGUAGCGAUAAAACGGAUGAAAAAUCCGUUCGCCGAAAACCUAAGGUUUCCUGGGCAAUGUUAAUCAUCCCAGGGUGAGUCGGUACCUAAGACGAGGCCGAAAGGAAUAGUCGAUGGACAGCAGGUUAAUAUUCCUGCACUACUGUAGUGGCGUUAUCAGCAAUGGGGGGACGCAGGAAGGUAGGCCUACAGACGAUUGGAAAUGUCUGGCCGCGAUUCGAGGGGGAUCCCGUAGGUAAAUCCGCGGGGUCAUUACUCUGAGGAAAGCGGGGAAGCGAGCCUUCGGGCAAGCCAACUGGUUGAUCCUACGCUGCCAAGAAAAACCUCUAGCGAGUCACUAUAGUAACCGUACCGCAGACCGACACAGGUAGGUAGGAGGAAAACUCUAAGGCGCUUGAGAGAACUCUGGCUAAGGAACUAGGCAAAUUAGCCCCGUAACUUCGGGAGAAGGGGCGCCUCAGUAGGGUGUCAAAGCCCGAGGAGGCCGCAGUGAAAUGGCUCUGGCGACUGUUUAUCAAAAACACAGGUGUCUGCUAAGCCGUAAGGCGAUGUAUAGGCACUGAUGCCUGCCCGGUGCCGGAAGGUUAACAGGAGGGGUUAGUCGCAAGGCGAAGCCCUGAAUCGAAGCCCCGGUAAACGGCGGCCGUAACUAUAACGGUCCUAAGGUAGCGAAAUUCCUUGUCGGGUAAGUUCCGACCUGCACGAAUGGCAUAACGACUGGAGCACUGUCUCGGCCAGAGACUCAGCGAACUUGUAUCAUCGGUGAAGAUGCCGAUUACCCGCAACUAGACGGAAAGACCCUGUGAACCUUUACUAUAGCUUGGCAAUGAAUUUUGGAACGGUAUGUGUAGGAUAGGUGGGAGACGUUGAGACGGGGGCGCUAGCUCUCGUGGAGUCGCCGUUGAAAUACCACCCUUAUUUUUCUGGAAUUCUAACCUGGGCCCAUUAUCUGGGUCGGGGACAUUGCCUGGUGGGUAGUUUGACUGGGGCGGUCGCCUCCCAAA